CUGUGGCUCGUCCUGCUACAAUUCCACCUAGAAUCUGCACAUAAAAGCUGGCUUCUGCCUAGGAUUCACAAGAUAGUGCCAGACUUUGGGUUGAAGACAUACAGAAAACUCACAGAAGGCAUUUUCUGCAUCAUGAGAGGUCAACAUAGACAUCUUAAACCACACUUUCAGAGUGGAGCCCUUUGAGUUUUCCAGAUCUUGUCUAGUCACCUGGUACAACUAUGUGAGAGGCUUCUGGUGUGAACAGAAUCCUGUGGCAGAAUCUGUAAGUGUAAACAAGCACCUUAGCAGUGGGAG
rnacentral:lncRNA from 10 species